UGUAAAAUGUGAACAAACAAUAGUUGAGCUCGACUGCAUUUAAUUUCAUCAAAACGCUAGAAAAUGUUUUUAUUUGCAAUUGGUUGUUGCAUUACUUGGCGUUCUGUUGCAUUUCGACCACACGCAAUUGCCUAAUAAAAUUUUAUGCACCAUAAAACACACAAGGAGACAAGGACAUAUUACGUUGAGAUAACUAAACAGUAGCGGGGAGGCAUAUAGUAUACGUUCAGCUGUGGUUGUUGAGAGUCCAUUCAACGACAAAAUUCAAUUUCGAUUCAAAUUAUGAAAUCCAAUGCCGCAUUUUGCUACCAUGGGUGUGGGGAACCGGAUGUGCACUAACGCGAUUAUGCGUAAUUAAAAC